ACAGUCGCGGGUUCCCAGCCGAGGUCGGCCGUUCCGGGGAGGUGGAGGAAGGGCUGAGAAACCCAGCGCUGGGCCCUGAAGGCCUGCUCGAGACGGGUUGAUGAGGCGUUAAUGAGGCGGUGCUUUGUGCGGGGUCCAUCCCCCGAGCUACUGCAGAUGUGCCGAAAAACCGGGACGGCUCGAAGCCUGAGGACUGGCCUUUUCUGAAGGAAGGAGAUCUGUGUGAUCCCUUGUUUAUAGCUUCAGAGUUAGACGUGUAGAUCUUCAGGGUUACUAAUCCCGUCUCCCUAUUUUAGACUAGCAAUCUCUCGUACAAAGAUAUUUCCUUGAGGUUGCCCAGCUCGGUGGACAGAUUUGAGUCUAGGAACCUCCAUACUGUUUUCCAUAGUGGCUGCACCAAUUUACAUUCCCACCAACAGUGCACAGCGUUCCAAAUUCUCCACCUCCUCAGCAAUACUUGUGAGGGCCCAGGCUGCCCAAUCCCUGCUGAAGAGGUGCAUAUUGCACAGGAAACAGCCUUCAUUCAGCCUCCCCGACCUUCCCUGAGUUCCAAUGGGCGGAUUCAAGCAGUUGUUAAUUAGGGAAGGGAGGGGAUGAGAGACCACGGACUGUCAAGAACAUCCCUGGGGCAAGGUCCUCUUUCCACAUCAAGGGAUAUACACAAUGCUGCUACUGCUAAGUCACUAAAGUUGUGUCGGACUCUGUGUGACCCCAUGGACCACAGCCUACCAGGCUCCCCCGUCCCUGGGAUUCUCCAGGCAAGAGUACUGGAGCGGGGUGCCAUUGCCUUCUCCGGAUAUACACAAUAUCUUUGAGCUAUACUGCAGAUACUGAAAACCCCUCCAGGUGGGAGAUUAACAAUUAAUGUUGCUAUGCUGUCCACAAGCAUGUAGACCCCAGGCCAGUUGGACCUGAAGGUUGAUUAUGCUCCUACUUAACUCACCACCAACCCAUCAGAAGAAUGUCCGUGAGCUGACCACGCCCUCUUUGAACAAUUACUAUAAAAUUUCUCACCGUUUUCUCCAAGUUGGGACUCAAGAGUUUUGAGGGCGGUAGUCUGCUGUGGCUCCCUUUGCUUGGCAAAGUAAUAAAGCUAUCCUUUUCUACUUCACUCAUAACCCUGUCUCAGAGAUUCAAUUCGACACUGGCGUACAGAGAAGCUGAACUUUCAGCCUCUGGGACUGGCCAGAUAGAGCACCACAGACCUGGAAGCCCUGGAAGAAUCCACACAAGGACUAAAAUGGAAUGUUGUUCCAAUUCUGAGCAAACCACAUUCCUGUUCUCAGAUGAGUCAUGAAUAGUCCUCCCUCUCUUUACUCAAUUCCCUCUCUUUUACCCUGGCCCACCAUAAAUGUGGUGUCUCAACCCAAGUUGAGUUGAGAAGUUGAUUUCUGAAUUAGCUUCCCACCUCUCCAUUCUCUGGCCACUGAAUAAAGCUGUGCUGUUUCACUCUCACCAUAGGUUUUGUUAUUGGCUGUUCAAAUCUGAAUGGAAAGAGAACCUUUCAGGCAGGGUGCUUUGACUGAGCUAGGGGCCAGGUGGAGUUCCAUACAACCAACUCAGUGACAGCCAGGAAUCUGGAACAAGGCAGGUGUUAGGAGGUGCAGGUCAAUGGAGUGGGCUCUUAAGGAUGUAAGUCAUCUGCCUAAUUCCAAACCCUAACCUACACAAAUACGCAUAUUCCCUCUAAAGGUAGAGCUAGAGGAAUCUGGUCUUAGCAGGGUGUGGCUGGGCAGGCUAGCCAGAGUAUCCUCCAAUAGGACACACUGGGAACUAUGCUGGAGAAGCCCAGGACUCCAUCAGGCAGCACGUCCAAAUGAGGACUGAGUGUCACCAGUUUAAAUCUGCCACAUCAGAGGAGUUUUCAGGUAGUGGGCUCCCUUUACCCUUGAGAUUAUGCAGGUGGUUGGGAACUGGCCUGAGCUUUAUGGGCCUGGAGGGCUCUGGCUGCCUGAGGCCAGGUGAAAGGGUUUGUACUGGGCAUGAUCAUUCAGCAAGAUCAGCGUGGCCGGGAACCCGAAACAGAGCAAGUGUUAGGAGUGGCCAGGAUAUUAAUCCUCUUAUCAGACAUAUGACUUGCAAGUCCCCUGUCCCCCCAAUAGGUUGCCUUUUCACUCUUGUUUCCUUUGAUGCACAGAAGUCUGAUGUAGUCCAUUUUGUACAUAUUUGCUUUUGUUGCCUGUGUUUUGGUGUCAUAUCCAAGAAGUCAUUGCCAAAUCCAAUGUCAUGAAAUUUUCCUCCUAUGUCUUCCUCCAGGAGCUUUGUAGUUUUAGGUCUUAACUCAGAAUGGAUUAAAGAUGCAAAUGUUAUUUUUGUAUAUGGUGAGAAUAGGG
ensembl:lncRNA